UACGUAGGGACCGAGCGUUGUCCGGAAUCAUUGGGCGUAAAGAGCGUGUAGGCGGCCACUUAAGUCCUGCGUGAAAUCUUGCGGCUCAACCGCAAGCGGUCGUGGGAAACUGGGUGGCUAGAGUGCGGGAGAGGAGAGUGGAAUUCCUGGUGUAGCGGUGAAAUGCGCAGAUAUCAGGAGGAACACCAAUUGCGAAGGCAGCUCGCUGGGACGUUACUGACGCUGAGACGCGAAAGCGUGGAGAGCAAACAGG
rnacentral:rRNA from 1 species